AGAGUUUGAUCAUGGCUCAGAACGAACGCUGGCGGCAGGCUUAACACAUGCAAGUCGAACGCCCCGCAAGGGGAGNGGCAGACGGGUGAGUAACGCGUGGGAAUCUACCNNNCCCUNCGGAAUAACNCANGGAAACUUGUGCUAAUACCGUAUACGCCCUWCGGGGGAAAGAUUUAUCGGGGNUNGAUGAGCCCGCGUUGGAUUAGCUAGUUGGUGGGGUAAAGGCCUACCAAGGCGACGAUCCAUAGCUGGUCUGAGAGGAUGAUCAGCCACAUUGGGACUGAGACACGGCCCAAACUCCUACGGGAGGCAGCAGUGGGGAAUAUUGGACAAUGGGCGCAAGCCUGAUCCAGCCAUGCCGCGUGAGUGAUGAAGGCCYUAGGGUUGUAAAGCUCUUUCACCGGAGAAGAUAAUGACGGUAUCCGGAGAAGAAGCCCCGGCUAACUUCGUGCCAGCAGCCGCGG
rnacentral:rRNA from 1 species